AAAGCACGACAUUGCUCACAUUGCUUCCAGUAUUACUUUAGCCAGCCUCUGCUGGCUUUUUUUU
rnacentral:antisense_RNA from 1 species